rnacentral:rRNA from 1 species
UUGAAAGGGAAACGAUUGAAGUCAGUCGUACCGGUGGGUAAUCAGCCUUUCGGCCGUGAUUAUGUGGGGGCGUGAGGGAGUUAAACGCCUUCAUGCCCGCAUAUUCGUGUUCUUUUGGGUGUACUUACCCGCAUGGUAGGUCAACGUCAAUUUCGAACGUCAUAAAAAUGGUUGGGGGAAUGUGGCUUCGAUCUCGUAUUGAAGUGUUAUAACCUCCGGCAGAUGUGAUGAUCGGGAUUGAGGAUUGCAACGGAUACCCUUCUGGGCUACCCGCCUGAUCUCUGAAAGUUGCUCUGGUGCCGAAAGCUCGCUUACGGUCAUCAAAGUUGACGUUCAACAGGUUAGAACGGGAUAAAUUCGUUAAGGAUGUUGACGUA